CCCUGCAUCUGAAAGUGAUUGUGGCUGCAGGUGAGGAAUUGCAGAAAGCAGUUCCCCGUGUUCGAAGGGUCCACUCCUGUCCCUUCCAAACUGGUGCCUUCCCACA